UACAGAGGUCUCAAGCGUUGUUCGGAUUCAUUGGGCGUAAAGGGUGCGUAGGCGGCGCGGUAAGUCGGGUGUGAAAUCUCGGGGCUUAACUCCGAAACUGCAUUCGAUACUGCCAUGCUUGAGGACUGGAGAGGAGACUGGAAUUUACGGUGUAGCGGUGAAAUGCGUAGAUAUCGUAAGGAAGACCAGUGGCGAAGGCGGGUCUCUGGACAUUACCUGACGCUGAGGAGCGAAAGUGUGGGGAGCGAACAGG
rnacentral:rRNA from 1 species